rnacentral:rRNA from 1 species
CUGGCUCAGAUUGAACGCUGGCGGCAGGCCUAACACAUGCAAGUCGAGCGGUAGAGAGAAGCUUGCUUCUCUUGAGAGCGGCGGACGGGUGAGUAAUGCCUAGGAAUCUGCCUGGUAGUGGGGGAUAACGUUCGGAAACGGACGCUAAUACCGCAUACGUCCUACGGGAGAAAGCAGGGGACCUUCGGGCCUUGCGCUAUCAGAUGAGCCUAGGUCGGAUUAGCUAGUUGGUGAGGUAAUGGCUCACCAAGGCGACGAUCCGUAACUGGUCUGAGAGGAUGAUCAGUCACACUGGAACUGAGACACGGUCCAGACUCCUACGGGAGGCAGCAGUGGGGAAUAUUGGACAAUGGGCGAAAGCCUGAUCCAGCCAUGCCGCGUGUGUGAAGAAGGUCUUCGGAUUGUAAAGCACUUUAAGUUGGGAGGAAGGGCAGUAAAUUAAUACUUUGCUGUUUUGACGUUACCGACAGAAUAAGCACCGGCUAACUCUGUGCCAGCAGCCGCGGUAAUACAGAGGGUGCAAGCGUUAAUCGGAAUUACUGGGCGUAAAGCGCGCGUAGGUGGUUUGUUAAGUUGGAUGUGAAAUCCCCGGGCUCAACCUGGGAACUGCAUUCAAAACUGACUGACUAGAGUAUGGUAGAGGGUGGUGGAAUUUCCUGUGUAGCGGUGAAAUGCGUAGAUAUAGGAAGGAACACCAGUGGCGAAGGCGACCACCUGGACUAAUACUGACACUGAGGUGCGAAAGCGUGGGGAGCAGACAGGAUUAGAUACCCUGGUAGUCCACGCCGUAAACGAUGUCAACUAGCCGUUGGAAGCCUUGAGCUUUUAGUGGCGCAGCUAACGCAUUAAGUUGACCGCCUGGGGAGUACGGCCGCAAGGUUAAAACUCAAAUGAAUUGACGGGGACCCGCACAAGCGGUGGAGCAUGUGGUUUAAUUCGAAGCAACGCGAAGAACCUUACCAGGCCUUGACAUCCAAUGAACUUUCUAGAGAUAGAUUGGUGCCUUCGGGAACAUUGAGACAGGUGCUGCAUGGCUGUCGUCAGCUCGUGUCGUGAGAUGUUGGGUUAAGUCCCGUAACGAGCGCAACCCUUGUCCUUAGUUACCAGCACGUAAUGGUGGGCACUCUAAGGAGACUGCCGGUGACAAACCGGAGGAAGGUGGGGAUGACGUCAAGUCAUCAUGGCCCUUACGGCCUGGGCUACACACGUGCUACAAUGGUCGGUACAGAGGGUUGCCAAGCCGCGAGGUGGAGCUAAUCCCACAAAACCGAUCGUAGUCCGGAUCGCAGUCUGCAACUCGACUGCGUGAAGUCGGAAUCGCUAGUAAUCGCGAAUCAGAAUGUCGCGGUGAAUACGUUCCCGGGCCUUGCACUCACCGCCCGUCA